rnacentral:misc_RNA from 1 species
CACAAGCUUCAAGGGCAACCUCAUCAUCACUAUCUUUGUUUGCUUGCAACAUGAAUUCCAUGACAUUCUUCAUAUGCGGCUCCAAGAAAGAAGGAUUAACUUCAAUGAGUUGAACAAAUGCUGAACAAACCAAUUUUCGAACCUCUGCAGCAGGGUCACAAGCAAGGACAAAUAAGCCACGAAGGAACUGAUCCAUGGACAGAUAAAGAGCUGUAGGCAUCAGCAUAAUAAAUUGAUUUAUUGAUCCUAGAGAAAGCUUCCUUAG